ACAAUUAUCUCAUACGUAAUAAGAUAGAGGUUCAACUCCUCUUUUCACCUUAUCGACCCAUGGGAUCUGGGG
rnacentral:tRNA from 1 species